rnacentral:tRNA from 2 species
ACGCUGGUGGUGUAUUGGUAACAUUGGAGCUUCCCAUUUACUCGUAGAUGGUGACUGAAAAGUUGAUAAUUGCUCCGGCACGGGGUUCGAUUCCCCGUCAGCGUA